rnacentral:rRNA from 1 species
CCUACGGGAGGCAGCAGUAGGGAAUCUUCCACAAUGGGCGAAAGCCUGAUGGAGCAACGCCGCGUGAGUGAUGAAGGCCUUCGGGUUGUAAAACUCUGUCAUUCGGGACGAACCGGAGUCUGAGGAAAUGCAGACUCUCUGACGGUACCGGAGGAGGAAGCCCCGGCUAACUACGUGCCAGCAGCCGCGGUAAUACGUAGGGGGCAAGCGUUGUCCGGAUUCACUGGGCGUAAAGCGCGCGCAGGCGGUGAUGUAAGUCUGAGGUGAAAACCCGAAGCUCAACUUCGGGACUGCCUUGGAUACUGCGUCACUUGAGGAUAGGAGAGGCAAGGGGAAUUCCACGUGUAGCGGUGAAAUGCGUAGAGAUGUGGAGGAACACCUGUGGCGAAGGCGCCUUGCUGGCCUAUUUCUGACGCUGAGGCGCGAAAGCGUGGGGAGCAAACAGGAUUAGAUACCCUGGUAGUCCACGCUGUAAACGAUGAGUGCUAGGUGUAGGUGGGCUCAUACCCAUCUGUGCCGAAGCUAACGCAUUAAGCCNCNCCGCCGNGGGAGGUACGGUCGCGACGACGUAGUAAACGUUAAAGGUAAGUUAGUACGGACGUUGAGACGCGGCCGACGGACGACGACGAGGGAGGUAGG